GGCUCUGAUUUUUUUGUUCUUCCAAUCUUUUGCUCCACAUUCGUCCUUGUCUUUUUCUCGUCACCGUUUCCUGUGUGUUCGUUGCCAUCAUCUCCUCAUGCUGUUGUUGUGUAAGAGCUGAAUCUCUGGCGUGUUUGCUCUUGCUUCGUCCUCACUGGGAGUUUGCAAGAGGAGAAUUUUGAUUAAAGUUGAGAGAAGGAAUUUGAAUUUUGGAGAUUUCAGAAAUAGAAAUUUGGCAAGAAGAGGAAAGAACAGGGACAUACGUUGAAGAUGGAGGCAUUGCAGAGAAAAGACGGUGCUGUGUGAGAGGGGAACACGUGGCAAACCCGAAAGCUGUGUGACUUUGGCCUGAAUUUCAGGAUUGCGUUCACAGAUCCAUCUUUGGUAAAAAGAAAAGAGGGUCUUUGGACGAAGGAGAAUUUUGAGGGAGCCAGAGAGGGAGGACCCCAAAAAAAAAAAAAAAAAAAAAAAAAGAAAGAAAAGAAAGUCUAAAGUGAGAGAGCAUAAAACAGAGGGACACGGAAGGAGAGAUUGAAGGAGGAUCCCAGUUUGAAGCACGGAGCAGCACUCAGAGAGAGGCAGAGAAUGGCUGAGUAUUGGAAGGAGGAAGAGCAGAGCCUAAAAAGGAAAGAAUGAAGAAGGCAGAGAGGAAUGUAGCCAAGGAAAAGAUGAGACGUCCAAUUUGAACUUCAUAUAGGGUUGUUCCUGGUUUUAUAAAACCCAUUUAAUUUCAUCCUCGAUGAGAUUGUGGACUAGUACGUGUUUCUGCUUUUGGAAUGACAGGUGUGGGCACCAAUCUGUCAAGUGUUACUUGACUUUGCUGAAAGUCUGUUUUUUUAUCAUUGAAAUCUUGUUUGUUUUUGCUGCAAUUUAGGAUUUGUGACAUCAUGAAGGGAAGUUAAAUAUAUGCUUCUUGGUGGGUUGGAGUAUGGUCUUAUUUCGGAUAGAAUUUAAAUACAAACUGAUUAGUUGUUCAUUUUGGAUAUGCUAUUAGGAUGUUUGUAGGGUUCUGUAUGUUUGGUUUGCUGUCUAAAAGUUUCAUGAUUUUUGGAGCCCAGUUGCAUGAUUAAAUAUGCCAACGGGUCUUUAAACAGUAGCGUCUGUCAAUUUUUAGUGCCUAUUUCGUGGAUUUUUUUUAUACUGUUGCAGAGGUGACCUUAAUCCAAAAUUUUGUACCCAAGCUUCCCUGUAAGUCUUGUUUGAGGCAUAAAGUUUUCGUGAUUUUUAGAUUUUAUUUUCCUAGUUGAGUGUGCUGACUUUAUUGAUUUUUCUAUAGUUGUACUUGUUGGACCCUGAGAUGAAAUUGUGUACCUCCCUAUGUUUAGUUUGAUGUAUAAGGUUUUCAUGAU